rnacentral:rRNA from 1 species
UACGGAGGGAGCUAGCGUUAUUCGGAAUUACUGGGCGUAAAGCGCACGUGGGCGGCUUUGUAAGUUAGAGGUGAAAGCCUGGAGCUCAACUCCAGAAUUGCCUUUAAGACUGCAUCGCUUGAAUCCAGGAGAGGUGAGUGGAAUUCCGAGUGUAGAGGUGAAAUUCGUAGAUAUUCGGAAGAACACCAGUGGCGAAGGCGGCUCACUGGACUGGUAUUGACGCUGAGGUGCGAAAGCGUGGGGAGCAAACAGGG